UAGUCAGUGACUAAGGGAAACCAUUAAGUGAUCCACCUGGGGAGUACGUCGGCAACGAUGAUACUCAAAGGAAUUGACGGGGGCCCGCACAAGCGGAGGAGCAUGUGGUUUAAUUCGAUGAUACGCGAGGAACCUUACCUGGGCUUAAAUGCAGGCUGCAUUCAUGUGAAAGCGUGAUUUCCUACGGGACUGCCUGCAAGGUGCUGCAUGGUUGUCGUCAGCUCGUGCCGUGAGGUGUCGGGUUAAGUCCCAUAACGAGCGCAGCCCCUAUCGCUAGUUUGCCAGCAUGUAAUGGUGGGGACUCUAGCGAGACUGCCGGUGUAAACCGGAGGAAGGUGGGGAUGACGUCAAAUCAGCACGGCCCUUACGUCCAGGGCUACACACGUGUUACAAUGGCCGGUACAAAGAGCAGCGACCUGGCGACAGGGUGCUAAUCUUUAAAGCCGGUCUCAGUUCGGAUCGAAGUCUGCAAUUCGACUUCGUGAAGGUGGAUUCGCUAGUAAUCGCGCAUCAGCCA
rnacentral:rRNA from 1 species